CUUGAACGCUGGCGGCAGGCCUAACACAUGCAAGUCGAACGAGUGGCGGACGGGUGAAUACUGUCUGGGAAACUGCCUGAUGGAGGCAGAUAACUACUUGACCAGGUCGCUAAUACCGCAUAACAUCCGAUGUGCACAGAUGGUAUUAGCUAGUAGGUGGGGUAAAGGCUCACCUAGGCGACGAUCCCUCGCUGGUCUGAGAGGCUGACCGGCCACACUGGAACUGAGACACGGCCCAGACUACUACGGGAGGCAGCAGUGGGGAAUAUUGGACAAGGGGCGAAAGCCUGAUGGAGCAAUGCCGCGGGUGUGAAGAAGGCUUUCGGGUGGUAAAGCACUUUUAUCGGGGAGGCGGUACCCGCACAAGAAGCAACGGCUAACUACGUGCCAGCAGCCGCGGUAAUAC
rnacentral:rRNA from 1 species